GCUGGAGUUUCCGCGCGUGAGCGCCCCGUGAUAGUGGAUCAGACUCGUGAGACCCCCGUAGGUGCUGCCCACAUCCUCACCAAACAGUUGAAACGUCCCUGGAAGACACUUCAGUUGUUAAGACUGAAAGAGUUAAGGCCGGGAAGGCCGAGAUGAUCUACUUGAUUCUCCAGGGUGGAAGCAGACCCCAGGCAUAUGUGAGAGACUCUGCCAUGACAAUGAGAAGCACUGGGGAGUGACAGCGGAGGAAGAAGCCCACUUGCCUCAGGAACCCGUGUUCCCUGGUGCAGCGCUGUGGAAAGUGCUUGCAAGGAACCAGUUGAGUUCAAAAAGAAGGGAAGACGCUGGGGACCAACAGGUGGUGUGGUGGUUAAGGCACUGGAUUUCCACAUGGCUGACUUCAAAGUCUCAUGAGAGACCCAGCUUGGAGAGGAGCUUGGGGAAAGUCAAGAGGGCCCUGUUCCCUUAUUGGCAAUAAUUUCCCCAUCUUCUCCUUCUGAGGCAUGUUAGUAGGGCAUAAAGGCAGCAGUGCUUAAUGAAUUGAACCAGGAGAUUCCCGGGAAGGACUGGAAAUGUAGUAUACAUAACAGGUUUCAGUGGUUAAGACCUCAGAUCUUUGAAAACCACAUGAGGUAGGCCCAUCUAUUGGUUUAGGAAAGCAACCCACCAUUCUGAUAUUUUGUCAAAACACUGCGAUUUUUUGAUUUUAUUGAAAUCUUUUUUUUUCAUUAUUAAUACAAAGAAUAAGCUUGUUUAUUGAAGAAUUUCUAAGAUGUUGGAAUGUCGGCAGAAAUGUAUUUCUCAAUUUGCACUUACUGUGUAAGGCGUAUCAAAUUGCUCAUGAAUUAAUAGGCUGACAGCAUUGUCAUUUCCCUCUGGGAUACUUUCACAGUUAGGGCAGGAGAAAGCUGAACACCAGAUGCUCUUCAACAUCUGAGAAGUUCUUAUCUUGGGACUUGUUCCUGAAGAUGUGAGAUUUACAUUGAAUUUAUAAGAACCAAAGCCACUGAAUUAAGUAGACAGGAAACUAUAUUCUAGAAUACGGUUGUAGAUCCCAGUAGUUGUGCCAAGAGUGUCUGCUGUGCUGAAUGAACCUUCCACUUAACUUCUUUCUCCAAUGAACUGACUCAGGACAUGCUGCUUCAUGGGCUGUAGCUACUUGUCAGGUCUAUGACUCAACAAACUGAAAUAUUAGCCAAAGGAAAGGUCAUUGCACAAUUGAGGCUGCUCACUCCGAACACAGCCAACUUGAACAUAAUCUCCUGAAGUCUCAAAUCUGCCAAUUUCCAGUCCACUAAGAGGAGCAGAAAUGAAGCAAAGGAGAAACAGUGACCUUGGCUACAGAGGACAACAGGAUGUCAGUAAACCCAAAGUCAUGCUGCUUUCCCUUUGCCAUUGAAUGACAGGCCCAUGACAGACUUAUGUAAACAUGAAAUGGAAAAGAGUUUUUCAAAGACAACUUCUUUGUGCCAAGUAUUUCCUGGCUUUCUUCUGGUCUGACCUGAGUGAUGAUAACUUUAGAGUCUAGCUUGUCUACUUUUCUUGCGAGUUAGAGUCAAGGAGAAUUCAUUUCAUGGAAAGGCCAAGUUCUGAGAAGCAAGACUGGGAAUGAGUGAGCAUCCAGGGCAGGGUGAGAACAGGAAGUGUUUCACUGACACUCCACCACCACCACCACCCCCGCCCCCAACCACUUCAGAGCCCAGUAUUCACCUUCACGGAAGGAAAAGUAAUUGUCAUCUGUUGCCAGAGGUGGCUGGCACUUGAGGGGUGUCCCAGUUCACUUUAUUUAAUUAAUUAAUUCAUUUUGUUAUAGGGAGCAUGUGCUCACCUGAGAGACAAACAGAGC